AUACUAGUGACGGUCUGGCAUUAUGGACCAAAGCCAUUUUAUUCAAUACCAAAGUUGACAGCUAAUACUGUUUUUUAGCAUUAGAUGCCGCUUUCAACUACUAACAAAUCCUACAUUAUACAGUAAAAGUGCACAGCCAUUGUUAGAUGAGAAGUUUAUUGUAUAUUUGUAUAUUAGAUAUUUCUUUUGCAGAUUUACAUAAUUACACCUUAUUAUGAAAACAGAAAGUAGCGUUGAUAGUGAGUGAUUUAUUUUGGGCUCUAGUUAGAUUAUUGAUCAAUUUAAAAAAUAAAUGACGGAUGAACGAAUGGCGAUCCACUGGACCGCAGUAUUUUACUCUGACUGAGCACCGACCACAUCCUUCGCUAUCUAAAUACAGCUGUCCAGGGCCGAAAAGUUUCAAUAAAACCGCUCUCAGAUAAAACGUCUUUGUUUAAACAGCCCUAAACAACUUCAACAUCUUCCAUUAUCGUUCAGUUCAAAUUUAAGUCCAUGUGGAAAUUCCUGUACAUGGUAACCACGGAAUUAAUUUGCAGGGAGAAACAGGAAAUACAAAAAAAGAUUGACUUGGUUUCUGACCAAUCAGAGCUAAUGUUGCCUUAUAAUUGGAGUCGCAGUCGCAGACUCGAGAUCUGAUUGGUUAUCGCCUGGCGACACAAGCCUGGUGAAAUAUGAUUGGAUAAAAACUUUACAAUAAUAUACAACGGUUGGAGCGGCGAAACAAAGCGGAUAUAAUAUGACGCGAAGAAAACAGACCAUGGCGAAUCAUUUUAUCUACAAAGAAAAUCUGACCAUGUUUAGGCUAGCAGAGAUCGCUUAGCUGCGUCUGAUUGCGGCCCCUUUGCGUGGUCACGCACGUCCGUGCACGUGCGUCAAAACCAUGAAGCAAUGGAGCGCCACUUGCCCCCGAGGAUCUGGGAGCUCUGGACACGGUUCAGACGGUGGAGCCGCGGAGGCAGACAGCGGUGGCAGCCGGAGGGGGAAGUUGCUGUGCACGGUCGUCCACCUAGGCGUUGGAGGACUCGCUUUGAGCGAGCCACUUCCCACGUUCAGGAAGUUGGGCCCCCCACCUCUGGCAUUGAGGUACCCCGCUUUGACCUGCCUUCUUACUUAGAUGUUCGACUUCCUCUUUACACUGAUCUCUUUCCUCCUCAUUCUCCUCCACGCUUUCCUGUUCCUUCUGCUAUUCCUUCCUCACCUCCUCCUCCCUAUUCUCCUCCACACUCUCCUGUUCCUUCUUCUGUUCCUUCCACACCCCCUCCUCCUUAUUCUCCUGUUCCUUCUCGCUCUUUUGCUGCUCCUCAUUCUCCUCCACGCUCUCCUGUUCGUCCUUCUUCUGUUCCUUCCACACCCCCUCCUCCUUAUUCUCCUGUUCCUUCUCGCUCUUUUGCUCCUCCUCAUUCUCCUCCACGCUCUCCUGUUCGUCCUUCUUCUGUUCCUUCCACACCCCCUCCUCCUUAUUCUCCUGUUCCCUCUUGCUCUCCGGCUCCUCCUCUUUCUCCUCCAUGCUCUUUUGCUCCUUCUUCUUCUAUUCCACCUUCACCCACUGCUCCUUCCCCUCUGGUUCCACCUAUUGUGGCUCCUUCUGAGCUGCCCUGUGUUCCCGAUGCUGGCCUUCCCCUGUCUCCUGUUAUUCAGGACUCAGGCUCCACAGUGGAAGGGACCAGUGAGGACUUAGCGGUUGGGGAAACCAACGAGGCUCCUAGCAGCGGCAGCAGCAGCAGCACACCUGGUAGAGGUAGGGAGGACAGUGAUGAGGAGGGGGCUGCUCCCAAAAGACCAUGUUUUACUGUGAGACACUGUGUCACACAGUAA
ensembl:lncRNA